AUUGAACGCUGGCGGCAUGCCUUACACAUGCAAGUCGAACGGUAACGGGCCUUCGGGUGCCGACGAGUGGCGAACGGGCGAGUAAUACAUCGGAACGUGCCCGAUCGUGGGGGAUAACGAGGCGAAAGCUUUGCUAAUACCGCAUACGAUCUACGGAUGAAAGCAGGGGACCGCAAGGCCUUGCGCGGACGGAGCGGCCGCUGGCAGAUUAGGUAGUUGGUGGGAUAAAAGCUUACCAAGCCGACGAUCUGUAGCUGGUCUGAGAGGAUGAGCAGCCACACUGGAACUGAGACACGGCCCAGACUCCUGCGGGAGGCAGCAGUGGGGAAUUUUGGGCAAUGGGCGCAAGCCUGAUCCAGCCAUGCCGCGUGCAGGAUGAAGGCCUUCGGGUUGUAAACUGCUUUUGUACGGAACGAAAAGCCUUCUUUUAAUACAGGAGGGUCAUGACGGUACCGUAAGAAUAAGCACCGGCUAACUACGUG
rnacentral:rRNA from 1 species